AACGAACGCUGGCGGCGUGCCUAACACAUGCAAGUCGAGCGAGAAAGUCUCCGCAAGGAGGCGAGUAAAGCGGCGCACGGGUGAGUAACACGUGAGUAAUCUGCCUGAAAGACCGGAACAACCCUCCGAAAGGAAGGCUAAUACUGGAUAAGACCACGGUGGCUAAAGCUGCUGAGGUAAAAAGGUGGCCUCUGUAAACAAGCUAUCACUUUUAGAAGAGCUCGCGGCCCAUCAGCUAGUUGGCGGGGUAAAGGCCCACCAAGGCAACGACGGGUAGCUGGUCUGAGAGGACGAUCAGCCACACUGGAACUGAGACACGGUCCAGACUCCUACGGGAGGCAG
rnacentral:rRNA from 1 species